rnacentral:rRNA from 1 species
GACGAACGCUGGCGGCGUGCUUAACACAUGCAAGUCGAACGGAAAGGCCUCUUUCGGGGGGUACUCGAGUGGCGAACGGGUGAGUAACACGUGAGUAACCUGCCCUUGACUUUGGGAUAACUUCAGGAAACUGGGGCUAAUACCGGAUAGGAGCUCCUGCUGCACGGUGGGGGUUGGAAAGUUUCGGCGGUUGGGGAUGGACUCGCGGCUUAUCAGCUUGUUGGUGGGGUAGUGGCUUACCAAGGCUUUGACGGGUAGCCGGCCUGAGAGGGUGACAGGCCACAUUGGGACUGAGAUACGGCACAGACUCCUACGGGAGGCAGCAGUGGGGAAUAUUGCACAAUGGGUGGAAGCCUGAUGCAGCAACGCCGUGUGCGGGAUGACGGCCUUCGGGUUGUAAACCGCUUUCGCUCAUGACGAAGCUUUGUGUGACGGUAGUGGGUAAAGAAGCACCGGCUAACUACGUG